rnacentral:misc_RNA from 1 species
GAUGAAAACGCAGCGAAAUGCGAUAAGUAAUGUGAAUUGCAGAAUUCAGUGAAUCAUCGAAUCUUUGAACGCACAUUGCGCCCCUUGGUAUUCCGAGGGGCAUGCCUGCUCGAGCGUCAUUAUAACCCCUCAAGCUCAGCUUGGUGUUGGGGCCUGCUGCACUGGCAGCCCUUAAAAUCAGUGGCGGCGCCAUCUGGCUCUAAGCGUAGUAAUUCUUCUCGCUAUGGAGUCCUGGUGGAUGCUUGCCAUCAACCCCCAAUUUUUCUAUGGUUGACCUCGGAUCAGGUAGGGAUACCCGCUGAACUUAAGCAUAUCAAUAAGCGGAGGA